rnacentral:rRNA from 1 species
UUUAAUUCGAUGAUACGCGAGGAAUCUUACUGGCUUAAAUGUAGAGUGCAUUUUUUAGAGAUAGAAAUUCCCUUCGGGGCUUUCUGCAAGGUGCUGCAUGGUUGUCGUCAGCUCGUGCCGUGAGGUGUCGGGUUAAGUCCCAUAACGAGCGCAACCCUUAUCGUUAGUUGCCAGCUGGUAAAGCAGGGGACUCUAGCGAAACUGCCACCGUAAGGUGAGAGGAAGGUGGGAUGACGUCAAAUCAGCACGGCCCUUAUGUCCAGGGCUACACACGUGUUACAAUGGCCGGCACAGAGGGCAGCUACCUGGUGACAGGAUGCUAAUCUCGAAAACCGGUCUCAGUUCGGAUCGAAGUCUGCAACUCGACUUCGUGAAGCUGGAUUCGCUAGUAAUCGCGCAUCAGCCAUGGCGCGGUGAAUACGUUCCCGGGCCUU